GGGAAACCGGAGCUAAUACCGGAUAAUAUUUCGAACCGCAUGGUUCGAUAGUGAAAGGUGGCUUUGCUAUCACUUAUAGAUGGACCUGCGCCGUAUUAGCUAGUUGGUAAGGUAACGGCUUACCAAUGCAACGAUACGUAGCCGACCUGAGAGGGUGAUCGGCCACACUGGAACUGAGACACGGUCCAG
rnacentral:rRNA from 1 species